rnacentral:rRNA from 1 species
GCAGUGGGGAAUAUUGCACAAUGGGCGAAAGCCUGAUGCAGCGACGCCGCGUGAGGGAUGACGGCCUUCGGGUUGUAAACCUCUUUCAGCAGGGACGAAGCGCAAGUGACGGUACCUGCAGAAGAAGCACCGGCUAACUACGUGCCAGCAGCCGCGGUAAUACGUAGGGUGCAAGCGUUGUCCGGAAUUACUGGGCGUAAAGAGUUCGUAGGCGGUUUGUCGCGUCGUUUGUGAAAACCAGCAGCUCAACUGCUGGCUUGCAGGCGAUACGGGCAGACUUGAGUACUGCAGGGGAGACUGGAAUUCCUGGUGUAGCGGUGAAAUGCGCAGAUAUCAGGAGGAACACCGGUGGCGAAGGCGGGUCUCUGGGCAGUAACUGACGCUGAGGAACGAAAGCGUGGGUAGCGAACAGGAUUAGAUACCCUGGUAGUCCACGCCGUAAACGGUGGGCGCUAGGUGUGGGUUCCUUCCACGGAAUCCGUGCCGUAGCUAACGCA